GUCCUAUGAGAAACAAGCUGCCCCCUCACCCAUGUCCACUAUGCCGAGGCAAUCACUGGAAGGCACACUGCCCCCAAGGACAAAGGUUCUCUGGGCCAGAAGCCCCCAACCAGAUGAUCCAUCAACAGGACUGAGGGUGCCCGGGGAAAGUGCCAGCUCACGUCAUCACUCUCACUGAGCCCCAGAGGUCUGCGGCUUCACUCCUGAAGUCAGCGAGACCACAAACCCACCUGGAGGAACAAACAACUCGGGACGCACCACCUUUAAGAGCUGUAACACUCACUGUGAACGUCUGCAGCUUCACUCCUGAAGUCAGCGAGACCACAAACCCACUGGAAGGAAGAAACUCCAGACGCAUCUGAACAUCUGAAGGAACAGACUCCGGACACACCAUCUUUAAGAACUGUAACGCUCACUGCGAGGGUCCGCGGCUUCAUUCUUGAAGUCAGUGAGACCAAGAACCCACCAGAAGGAAUAAAUUCUGGACACAAAAGUGUAUCUGGUAUCAUCAUUCAUUCAUUAAUUCAUUGACUAAUGCAUUUAUUAUUUCGAGAGUUAACAACUUUGCUAUUGCUACAUGUCAGAAUUUCUUUGAAGGGUCAGUAUUCCCAGCCCAGUGAUAUAUGCAGAACAGCAGUCUCAAGGAUUUGGGUUUCCCCAUUUUUGUGGGAUUGUGUUUGCCAAAACAAGAGGGAAGUUGAAUGAUGAAACUCAGUUGAUGAAAUAUCAACUGGAGACAAAAUUUUCAAUAUGUAUAAAAUAUAUUCAUUAAUUAUCAUACAAGUUGUAUGUAUAAAUAUGUUCCUAUAAACAUUCAACUGCUUCAGGGAUAUUCAACUUAGAAAUAUGCAUUUAUUCUUGACUUCUUUCUUUCUACAUUAUUGUGAUGUCAAUUCCAUGUCAUGCUUUUCCUUUACAGACCCUCAUGGGAUCCUUCUAAAUGAUUUCAGUGUCCUGCUAAAUGUCUUCAUCUACAUUAAUUCAUUUGCUUUCGUCAAACUAAUCCUCUCUUACCACACACACACUGACUGAAAUCAUUUUAAUAAAAUACAAACUUGAUCAUAUCAGCCUGCUACUCGAAACCCUUCAGAGAUUCCUCAUUUCCUUAUAAGCUAAAAUUCAGAUACUUUAUCACCUUCAAAUACAGUUCCAACAAACCACUCCAUAUGUAUUCUUUUGACUCUCUCAAUUUCUAACAUUUAUACAUCUUCAUUUUUUAUGUACAUGGUACAUCACAGACAUAGAAUUAUUAGUAUUCUCUAUUAAUACUAAUAUUCCUUGCCUAUCUGAAUAUUAUCCAUAUUUUAAGCUCUUUUUGUGGGGAGAAAAGUCUUCCUUUAAGGCCAUAGUUAAGAUUCUAAUGUCUUUCUAAAAUAAUUUAUGGAUUAAUUAAGUUAAUCCAUGAAUUAUGCACUCAAUAUCUAUUUAUCAUGUGCCUACAAUGUGUCAGGUAAUAUCCUAAAUUCUGGAAAAAAAAAUGGCAGCAGUAAACAAAAUAUAUGAGGACUCUGCCUUCUUAGAAUUUAGAAUAUAAUGGAGAAGAAAGGCCAUAAGAAAAUUAGCAAAUAAAAAAUUUGUUGAAAGUUGUAAUUGAGAAGGAAAAAGACAAGAGAAAGAGACCAAAAAAGGCAAGGGAAAGCCUACUUUGGAUUGGGAGACUUCACCUCUAUUAUAUGUUCAUGCUGUACAAAACAAGAAUGAACCCACUGAGAGAAGCCAGUUCAGCUGGAUUAUAAUUUUGAAAGGGAAGAAUAUCUGAGAUAGGGAUUUGGGGCAGUCAGGUCAGGAAGACAAUAUUAAAGAGGGAAGCUCUUGCUCUGAAGGUGACAGAAAGACCCUGUACGUUAAGAAGAGGAAGUAGAUAAUUUAAAAAGAAAGUCUACGUGCCAUAUGGAAUAUAGGCUGUGUAGGGGCAAAAAUCAUAGCAAUAACCACUCAGGAGGCAAAUGAGUGUAAGAUACAGAUAAUGCCAACUUUGGCUAAGCAGGUUGAUGGCAGUGGAGAUGGAAAGACAGGGACAAAGUGAAACAUUCUUUAGCAACAGAAGUUUGCUGAAUUGAAUUGAAUGCACACACUAGUAAACAAACCAAUUAAGUAUAUAGAUCAAGAGAAACUUUAGAGGGGAUUGCCAAGUUCAUUUUAAAUAUUCUUGAGUUUCAGAGAUGUCAUGCAGAAGGUAAAAAUACAAAAGUGGAACAUCUUUUUUGUGUGUGUAUGUUUGGACAUAAAAGUCAUAGAUACAAGCAGGGAAAUCAGCCAUGUUUUACUUUAUGAGUUAUGUUCACAGUAUUCCAUGUGCUGAGGAAACAAUCUUACCUUUAUGAGAUCUAGAUCAUUUAGGAAGCAUUCACUCAAACCACUCAGAGAAGUAGGGUAACACAUCUCCUAACACUGAAAGGACUAUGUGUUUUAAUUCAGUAAGUUAAAUUAGUACAAAGCUUCAUAAACCAGCUAAAGAUAGAAGCUGAUGAAUUGUUCAAUGGAGAGAACUGCAGAAGCCCUUUAAGAAAAGCCUACAAUUUUAAUGGAGUUGUUCAAAGUGUGUCAAAGAACUUAUGCAGAAACAGUCCUAAAAUAUCCCUAUUAGAUGCAUGUAUGUUUAGGUUUAUUUCAGAUUAAUUGUGUUAACCCUUGUGGCUUGGAAAAACAUUAAUAAUUGUUAAGUAAAUAAAUGUAACUGCCUCACCCUGGGUUAGACUACUUGAGGAAGUGCAUCUGAAAUUUUCUUGAAGAUCAUUUUCCACAGUUUCAAAACGAUUGGCUUUUUCUUGGUUCACACUGUCAAAUAAAUAAAGCAUAUCAGAAUUCACUUCUGAAGCAUGACUGCAUACUAAGCAAAUUUUGUAAAUAUGGCCUCUAUUUUAAUUUCACCAUAAAAAUAUUUUGUUAAACUGAAUCCAAAGUAUUUUCUCCUGAUGCUAAAAUAAAUAAGCAAAUAAAAUUAACUAUAUUUGUUGCAGAAGACCAUUGCAUGUGUUUUUUACAGUAUAUCUAAG
rnacentral:lncRNA from 1 species